rnacentral:rRNA from 1 species
UACGUAGGGUGCAAGCGUUGUCCGGAAUUAUUGGGCGUAAAGAGCUCGUAGGCGGUUUGUCGCGUCUGCUGUGAAAACGCGAGGCUCAACCUCGCGCCUGCAGUGGGUACGGGCAGACUAGAGUGUGGUAGGGGGAGAUUGGAAUUCCUGGUGUAGCGGUGGAAUGCGCAGAUAUCAGGAGGAACACCAAUAGCGAAGGCAGCUCGCUGGGACGUUACUGACACUGAGGCGCGAAAGCGUGGGGAGCGAACAGG